rnacentral:lncRNA from 1 species
UGUGCAUUUCCACUUCUCUUACUUCCCAUUCCUCUGGCUUGCUUUAUGUAUCUAGAUGCAUGAUUCUGGCCUGGAAGCAGUUCAGUCAGCUGAGCCACUCAAAGGGCCUGGGCACACUUGUGUCUUUCCUUCCUGCCUCAGUUUCUACAGAGAUGUGCAGAAGCCCUGUGGAGUUCCUGAGGAAUCCUGCAGCUGCUGGGGCCUUGAGGAGAUGGGCAGUGUGUCUCCCAGUCCUUGAGGCGGCUGGAAAGGCAGCAGAGCAGCUGAGGCUCCAGAGAAGCCCGUCAGAGAAACACCCUGAGAAUGGCUGCAGUUUUCCUGUUUCUCUUGAGCCCCGGAGGAUUUCAAAGUCUCUUUCAAAAUGAAGAAUGGAUCUUUGGAGAUUGCAAAGUACUAGACGCCCACUGUGGGAAACGUUGCUUUUCCUACCCACCAUCCAUACUCCUUUUUCCGAAUUCCUUUAAACAGCUCACAGUCAAGCAGAGAGACUGGUGUGAGUGCAAAGAAAUAUGGCAGGCACUGUGAGGAGAGUCUACUUUUGCCUGCCUGGGAAGACCCAAGGAAGAAGUGGCCAGUUGCUGUCUUAGCAGGAUGAAGAAAGAUCUCAUGGAAGAGGUGAUGCUAGAACUGUAUCUUCAAAGAUGAACAGAGGUUUUCAGCUAAAAAAAGUGUAGGAAAGACAGACCAGCCCAGCCUAGGAGAGAAAUGUCAACUGUGGACUAUUACCUGUCUUAAAAAUCUAUUACCUGCAGUAUGGAGAAGGCAGUUCAAUCUUGUAUGAUUAGCACAUGCCUGACUGGUAUGCUAUGCUGUCUAGAACAUAGAAACUUGUCGUCACACUUGUCGCCUCCUUCCUCCCUUCCCCAAAUUCAUAAAAUACUAUAAAAUUUUCUUGCUGGUAAGCAAGGCCAUAUAGAUGUUAGAGUUAAGUGUGGUGGGUAGACUCAGUAUUCCAUGUGUAAUCACCAGCUUGGGGGCUGUGAGUCAGUGGUGGGGAGACAGCAGCAUCAACAGCAGCACCAUCUGCCCUCCUUCUGGAUCAAAGUUAGAAUUGUACACCCUCGAAAUAAGUUGUCCAGUGGUGGCCCCCUGUCUUCCUCUUCAGCUCUUCCAAUAGUUUUGUAAGCUCCCCACUCCUUAUACUGAAUCCCUUUUGGCUGGAAAUACCUAGAGCAGGUCCUGGUGUCUGCACUGAAUUCUGACUGAUACGAUUCCCCACUGUGAGGUCUAGAAGGGCCAAGAGCUGUUUGUCUUGUUCUUCACUGCAUCCCCAGUACCAAGCAC